AGAGUUUGAUCUGGCUCAGGAUGAACGCUAGCGAUAGGCUUAACACAUGCAAGUCGAGGGGCAGCAAUUCGUAGCAAUACGAAGUUGGCGACCGCGCACGGUGAGUAACGCGUAUGCAACCUACCCGCAACAGAAGGAUAAUCCGGCGAAAGUACGGUCUAAUACUUCAUAAUACAGGGACACCGCAUGGUGAUAUUUGUUAAAGAUUAAUUGGUUGCGGAUGGGCAUGCGUGCCAUUAGGUAGUUGGUGAGGUAACGGCCCACCAAGCCGACGAUGGUUAGGGGUUCUGAGAGGAAAAUCCCCCACACUGGUACUGAGACACGGACCAGACUCCUACGGGAGGCAGCAGUGAGGAAUAUUGGUCAAUGGGCGAGAGCCUGAACCAGCCAAGUCGCGUGAAGGAAGACGGCCCUAUGGGUUGUAAACUUCUUUUGCAGGGGAAUAAAGAUAUCCACGUGUGGGUAGUUGUAUGUACCCUGCGAAUAAGCAUCGGCUAACUCCGUG
rnacentral:rRNA from 1 species